AAUGAUAUACUUAAGUUAUAAGUUUGAGAUAUCAACUCGCAUUAAGAUAAAAUUAAACAAACAUUAUUGAUUAUAACGAAUUGUUUUUAGAAAAAUUGAUGUAAUUUCAAAAUAGUAAAUAAUAUUCAAGAAUAAUGAAAUUAUUAUAUUAUUUGUCUUUCAUUUCAUACUUUGUUUAAUAUUCUAAUCACUUGAAAUAUCAUGCAGGUCAACGUCUGUCGGGUCCGUUAGUAUAAUAUAUAUAUAUUUAUACUUUUUUCUUGUGAACAACUUUUCUACCAGCAGUUUUGCUCUAAUUUACAAUGAUAGCAAUUUUUCUGACAGGAAAUCUGAUUGGGGCAAUUUUUCGAUUUCCCCAGCAGCUGUGAAAAACCGAGAAAAACGGUACAAUAUUAAAUAAAUAUUAUUAAAAAAUAUAUAUAAUGGCUAUUCAAUUAUUUUAUCAUAUUAUGGCAUAUAUUUAUAUAUAUUGUUAACCCAGAAGCACUGUCAACUGAACUCCGGUCAGAAUCGUUUUUUUCNUUAGUAAUGGUUAGCAUCGUUACAUAUAUAUUAAAUUCCUUUCUGUAUCCUACCUUCCAACUCCUCAUCUACAACAAUGGCACACACGUCCGCAGUAUCAGCACUUUUUUUUUUUUUUUUCUAAACCGAUUGUACCUGCAGUCGUAUACAAGUGGCCCGUAUGCAAUACGUCCGCAUUCACGUACCUGAAACAUUCUAAAUAUUUGUAUACGCGUGGGUCGUACAAAUAAUGACGUUGUACUCCGUCGGUCGUAUAAACUAUAUAAGAGGUUAAUUUCAUGGGAUUUUUAAACAUUUUUCUAAAAAUUAUUUCCCAUAAAACAAUUUUCGAAUACAGUCCGGUGUGUUUUUAUAAUAGAUUUAAAGUUAAAAUAAAUGAAAGUGCUUGUAUCUUUAUGCGCGAUUCAUCUCAGCCGAAUCUACUAUCGCUGCAGCACGCGGAAGUCUGGUAAUUAAGAUACAGAGACCGAUUAAUUAAUAACUAUAUCUAUUGUAGGUGAGCAUUAUUUAGUUUUUUUUUUUUUGCGAGAACGCAAAGAUCGAAUGCGUUUCGGCGUCAGUAACACCCCG